UGAAGAGGGAGAUAUGUCUCCGCUGAUCCAGAAGUCAAUAUUCUCCUCACUAUAUUCAGACUUCAAGAAAGCUUUGAAAGCUGCCAGCCCACCUAUGAUACAGGAGAAAGGACCACAGUUGUCAUCACACUGGUUGGCCUCUUGGAUAUGCUAUUUCACAUAAAGCUGAGGUACUUGGGGGAUAAAGCAUGGAUUCAAGCAAUCCCUUUUUCCCCUGCUUUUUUCAAGUCACCUGGAGUCAGGUAACCCUAAUCUGUGUUUGAUAUCCAGUGGUUCCCAGUUCUACCUAAUGAUUCUUACUCAAGUUGGAAGCCUCUUUCAAGGAAGUAUUUUGCUUCUGAAAUGCCUAUGCAGCUAUCAAUUACCAAGGUCAAUUUGGGAAAGAGAAACUGAGAUUGAUUUUGCAAGAAGGUAUUGAUAUUUAUCAUUUUUUUUCUCUCUUCCGUUUUUCCUUGUGAUGAGAGAGAUGGUUUUCCACAUGGUUCCUGCAUAAACUUUUCAUUGUAUAUCACAAAGCUCUAGGGCAUAUUAAAAUUUUAAACAGACUGAAUUUAAGACCUAAAGAGUCUCCUGAGUCUGAACAUCAGAAAGAAGCCAGGCCUUGCUGCAGUUUCUAUUAGACCAGCAUAAUAUAACUUGUCUUAUCCAGAGUACCUCAUCCCAGGUUGCUGUCAGACUUACAUUCAUGACUAAUCAGGUUUUCCAGUGAUUCAGCCCAUUUCUUG
rnacentral:lncRNA from 1 species